AUGGCAAUACUAUGGUAAAACUGUUAAAUACAUGCAUAUUUUAAAAACAGACAUAAGCAACACUUCAAGAGUUAACAGCCAAGCAAACUAGUUUUACAUUUACGGUGUCUUAGUAAUACAUGAGUUAAUAGUCUAUGCCUCUGCUGUAACCACAUUUUCCAACAUGAUACUAAAUCUUACUUUUAAAGUAUACAUUAUUUCCCUAUGCUUGUCUACUAAUCACUCAGAUUCUCCUAUUCUUAUGCUAUAUGAGGUAACAACAGUUCUAGGGAGAAAUCCGUUUAUUACUGAUAGAAGAAAACAUAAGAUUUCAAAUUCCCAUGUAAAAGGUUCUUCAUGGUUUAUUCCAUGGCUUCUAGAUUGGGUGAAUCACUUUAACCUACUUUGUGUGCAUCUAAAUAUUUAAGUUCUGAUUUCUUAAAGAGGUUUCUUUUAUUAUUAAACAUACACUUUUAGAUAAUGCAUAUUUCACAUGUGAUCAGAUUUAAAGGCAAAUCUGAGGGAUUAGUUUUUACAUGAAAUAUAAACGGUAAAGUUUUGAAGCUUAUGCUUUUUCCAACCUUCUCUCAACUUGUACUCAGAACAUCUUUACAAAACAAAUUAGUAAACAUGAUUUAUUAAAAUAUGUAGCAAACUGAAAAUGUUUUUAAACAUAAUUAACAUUCCCUUUAAAAAAGAAACACAUUCUACAUACAACCUUACAAAAGACAUAAAAACUUAAACCUGUUCACAGUAUGUGUAUAUUUAGUAAACAGCAAUUCAGUAUAAUGCAAUUUUGGAAGUGAGAAAAGGGGAUGAUUUUCUAGAUUUACAAACACAUUUAUGUGAUUGCUUAAAGAAAGAGGAAAAGAAGUUUAAAAAGCAUUUUUUAGAAUUUCUUUUCCAGAAAUGGAAAGACCAUGAAUUAGAUAAGCAUACUAAAGUGUAACAGUUGAAUACUUUGAAAUAUCCACUCCAGCUUUGGGCUAUACUGUUGAUUGUAUUCCUUUAAAAAAAAUUAAGGAAGCAAAUUAGACAUAUUUUUAAAAAAUCAAUUCUUUUUAAAAAUAGAAUCACAGACUACAAGAUAUACAGAAAUGUCAAGUAGUCUCUCUCUUCACAAAAGUACACUGAAUAGACUUUUUUUAUGUGUUUCCUUCAACUGCAUUAUUCUUAGUGCCAUUCACAUUUCUGGCAUUUAUGUUGGUGGGAAUAAAGUUAAAAAAGAACUAAUGGUUUGUGCUAUAUUAAGAACACAAGUACAGGAUAUCUAUUAUCAAAGUGGGGGAAACUACUAACACGGAAGGGAGCAUCUAUGAAAAUAUAAAAAAAUAAAUUCUAUAAAAACUAGUACUCAAAUGUUCUUUUUCAAUGUUCAACAACAAAAUCAUGAAUAUAGCUACUUUUUAAAAAAUAUCAGAUUAUCAAUGAUUCCUCAGAACAUACUGUUUCACCUUUUCAACAAGCCAAUGGCAAUAUGUUUUACCACAAUGGAAUAAAUAAUCCAACUUUUUAUACAACAUGGAAUGCUCAGCAAAUAGAACAGUGACCUAAAAAUGAGGAGAUACCCAUCAAAAAUGGUGUUAGAAGAAGUACCUCCAGCAUUUGUGCAAUAUGUAAUAAAAUUCAAUUGGAGAUUUAGGUGACAAU
rnacentral:lncRNA from 1 species